AAUGGAGGAAACUCUGAUGCAGCGAUGCCGCGUGAGUGAAGAAGGCCUUUGGGUUGUAAAGCUCUUUCGUCGGGGAAGAAAAUGACUGUACCCGAAUAAGAAGGUCCGGCUAACUUCGUGCCAGCAGCCGCGGUAAUACGAAGGGACCUAGCGUAGUUCGGAAUUACUGGGCUUAAAGAGUUCGUAGGUGGUUGAAAAAGUUGGUGGUGAAAUCCCAGAGCUUAACUCUGGAACUGCCAUCAAAACUUUUCAGCUAGAGUUUGAUAGAGGAAAGCAGAAUUUCUAGUGUAGAGGUGAAGUUCGUAGAUAUUAGAAAGAAUACCAAUUGCGAAGGCAGCUUUCUGGAUCAUUACUGACACUGAGGAACGAAAGCAUGGGUAGCGAAGAGGAUU
rnacentral:rRNA from 1 species